CGUGGCUCCGCCCUUUACGCGGCUGGACGCUCCCAGGACUCCGGGCGGGCGGGGACCGGCGCUGGACGUGGCGGCUCUGGUCCUGGUGAGCGCUGUCCGGCCUGGUUGACCCCAAGCACCGUCGUUCAGUGCCUGAAUGUGGUUGAGCCGGGCCGGUGCCGGGAGGAGCUCCGUGGUCUGGAGAAACCCAGACCAAGCCUGCAAGAGCCUCAGUCAAGAGAUAAGCGAGUGAUAGGCAAGACUGAGAAGGGCAGGUGCCCGUGCGAGGCCCGGGGGAGAUCAGCGUGCGAGAAAGAGGGUGCCGAGAGGGGCGCGAAAUCUGGACCGGUGUCAAGGUGAACAAGAUGCCCUAGAAGGAGUGGGUCCCACAAAUCAUGCGGCCAGCCCUACCUGGCACCAACCUGCCAACUGUGUGGAUUCCUGCAGCAUCCCCAGUGAAGUGGAGAAAGCAGAUCACAGCUGAUGCAGCCUGUUGGGCUUCAAGAGCAGGUGUUUACAUGGAGACAGGAAAGCCGUCAGCCGCUAGCGGAGACGUGACUCCUUCACCUGCUGGCGCCGGAGGCUUAAACAUCACGCAAGAGGCACCGGAAGGCGGCAGCCCCCUCCUCCCUCCCUGGUUAACAUUUCUAAAGUAUCUGUGAGAUCCAACCGCGCAGGGAGCCAACGCCCCCCUGACUCAGAAGAAGAGGCGGUGGUCCACCCCGCGACAGGCACCUGGCCUGGAGCGGCCGCGACUACCCCACCCCCACCCCCACCCCCACCAAGCGCCAACACCUCUGGGCGGCAGGCGCCACCUGGAGGCCACCUCAAGAUCUGCGGGAAUGCCGCAGGCCCUUGGGCAGGUGGCAGAAUCCUUUCAUUCUCUUUUAUCCUUUAUUAAGCCACUGCUGUGUCUUAGGCUCUGGUGACAGGGGUGGAAAUAAAGCUAACGUCCGGUCUCCCAUGACAUCUAUGGCUUGAUGGAGAAGAUAGACCCUUGACAAAUAAUUCAAUGUGUAACGCUAGGGCUGGGAAAGAGAUGGAUACAAAGGAGGGAAUAACCAGAGCGCCUGGGUGGCUCAGUCAGUGAAGCGGGACACUUGAUCUCUGCUCAGGUCAUGAUCUCAGGAUUCUGGGAUCAAGCCCCACGUAGGGCUCCACAUUGGGGGUGGAGCCUGCUUAGGAUUCUCUCUCUCCCCCUUCCCCUGCUCAUGGUCGCUUGCUGUCACUCUUUAAAAAAAAAAAGGAGGGAGUUAACCAACCACCCAAGACAUUUAUUGGUGCCAGGUGCCAUUAAAAGCACUAGAAAUAAAGAAAGGAACAAAACAAGCUCCUGCCCCUGAGGAGCUCAUCAUGGGUAGGACAGACAGGCAAACUUAGAGGUAAGGGACAGAGUUAAGAAUGAGCCAGCCCGGGAUCAGAGGUGUCGGGAGGGAGGUCAG